GACGUAGGGCGCGAGCGUUGUCCGGAUUUAUUGGGCGUAAAGAGCUCGUAGGCGGCUUGUCGCGUCGACUGUGAAAACCCGUGGCUCAACCAUGUGGUCUGCAGUCGAUACGGGCAGGCUAGAAUUCGGUAGGGGAGACUGGAAUUCCUGGUGUAGCGGUGAAAUGCGCAGAUAUCAGGAGGAACACCGGUGGCGAAGGCGGGUCUCUGGGCCUAUAUUGACGCUGAGGAGCGAAAGCGUGGGGAGCGAACAGG
rnacentral:rRNA from 1 species